ACUGACCCUGAGUCAAACGUUAAGGUCGGGAGAAUAGCGGAAACGAUAACCAACCUAAGAAGUUUUGAUUGUUGAACGAAUUCUCUUCGUCAGUACCAAAGGAAAUGAACGGAAAAAAGUAUGGAGAACUUGCAUACCGAUGUUACGGUGUAAAGGGCUGAAAGGAGAAAAGCAAGCGACACUUUCACGUUCUUUUAUCAACACAACCACGAGCCCAUUACGUUAGUAAUGGCUCCUGACAGGAUGCGUUAUCUAUUUGGCUGUUUUUAUUUUUAGCGGGUUUGUUGUUUUGUCAGGGUGUCACUGCAGUACUCGUCAUUUAAUUUCCCUUGACGCGGGGUAACUAGUGUAAAAGGUUUAUGACGCGACGAACUUGGCAUGUUCCGCUUUACGUAAAUGAAAAUAAAACAAAAUGACUUUACCCUGUGUGAAAGAAAUCACGUGCAACGAAGCAGGCGUCACCAAGCUCUUCCCCGUCACGCAUGACGUGACCCAAGAACUGACGUCAUAAAUUAAUUUCAAAACAAAGGAAAUCAAAAGAUCAAGUACGUUGAGAGGUUUGUGGUGAAUCAGUACUCAAACUACUACAGCUCUUUUAAGUAAUCUUGAGGUUCGGUGUCAUGACGUGAUGAAAAAUACAUCCUUUGGGGUUCCUCAAAAUAAUGCAAGGAACCUCAUCGAUUCAGAAUUUUCAUACCAAAUUACAGGAUGCUAAACAUAUUUGACGCCUUUUUUUUUUCUUUUUGCUCGAGGCAUUCAUGAAAUAGCAAACUUCGACGCGUUCGUAUUGACUGAAAAAGGAAAACAAUUAUUUUUAAUCAGCUCUGUCUGGAAGUGUUCAUCUCGAGUGUACUUGAAUAGAGAUCGUUAAGUUAGUUUUGAUAACAAGUUUCGUAAUCGCAGAUUCUUGUUUCAACUGCCCGAAGCAGUUAUGAACCUUCAAUUAUUAUGAAAUUAUUCGGUUUCAAGACUUCUUUCGAACCCCUAUCCCUGUCUGUUUGUUUGUUUUGUUUGGUUUAGUAAUUUUCAUUCGGUUUCUCGAUGGUUCAAAAUGUGGUAUUCGCAUCUAAUGAAAACCUUACAACCUUCAACGUAUUUCCGAAAGUUGGUUUGAAGGUGAAGAUGAUUUUUCUUAACUUUACAAUAAGCUCUUGGCCGACACGUAAGGAGAUAACGAGGCUUGCACAAGGAAUGCAUUUACGGGAGACAGACUUAGGUCGAUAAUAAACUCGAACCUAUAUCCACGCUGAAUUUCGAAUCGACCGCCAGAUGUGACGAGAUCUGUUCCUUCUGUUAUCUCUAGCUUCAGUUGUUCCAAUACCUACAGAAACUAGUUAGAAAAGAAUUAACUCUCGUGUCUCCUUCGACAAGUUGUGUCGAAAACGGAAAGCUGACAAAUGGAUGUCUUUUCCGACAGAGGAAUGUCUUUGGCGUUGUUUCUGUACUCGAUGGAAAGUGAGAGUCGAAUAUAAUAGGCUAAUUACCACUUUAUUCAAUGACUUGCAUUCUUUUAAUACCGGAGGCUAAAUUCUGACAGUUUCCACAAUUGUUCCCCAGAGUACCUUCAGUUUUUGUGUGGUUUCCGUCGGUGUUUUCGUUUUCUAAAAAACGAAAACCGCAGAGGUUCUUCGGAAGCUUUACACGUAACUCGUACCAUUGUCAAGUCCUGUGCAAAUGUGCGUGUCUAAUAACUAGUCUAAAAAUUACAAUUUCGUAAACCCUUCCAAUCAAUAAUCUUGUUAUGUAAUAGAGCUGAUUUUGUCAUGGAACCCUUUGCAGAUGAAGUGUUCUUCACAACAGUUUCGCUCAAAGCGAGAGCUUUUACAAUGAUGACGUGGAAGAAUCCGAGUGUAUUUUCGAAGCGCACUUUUCUCGUUUCGAGAGGUGAUCGCAGAAGAUGACAAUUAUGCAAAUGACGUGAGUGUUUGAAGACAUUGAAUGAGGUCACAUAAUCUCCUGACCACUUGACUGGACAGCAACGAAGGAUGUUGUUUUGACACGUAGUCUUUUUCAAAAGCGCACAAUACAACAAGAAUGUAACAUGCUUGUUUUAAAGACAGGAGGAGAAAAGGCGCUAAAUAGAGGGUAUUAGAACUUAUCACAUGCUAAACCCUUCUUUACGACCCUUAAUCUUUCUCUCGCAAUGCCUUUCAAUAAUUACGUAAAUCUUGGAUCGAACUCAUCACGGACCUGAAACCUACGUAACGCAGGAACAAAAGAAAAACAUUCAGUGUUCGUGUGACUUGAAAUAUCGAUGAAACGUUCUCUUGUAUGAUACUUUACAGCAACCAAUCGCCUGCCGAGGAAAUCAUAUACAAUUCCGUCGUGAUGAGACAGUGAAGGCAUUGAUAAGCUCAUCUGGCCACAAGAUAUGGAAGCAAGUGUUUUGCAAUACAAAGGAAGGACUUGUUAAUCGAGCAAAUAAAAGAAGAAAGAAAAUCCUAAGAAAAAGUUUACAAUAAAUAUGCCACUGAAAAGAAACCCAGACAAGUAUUCCGUGCUUGUCACGUAACUGGAAGUUUCCUAAAACUGCUUCAAAACGGAUGAUUAAUUAAAAAGCCUUGAGGGCAAACUUAAAACGAGACUCGUGUGUAAAACGUGUUUGCGAGCAGAGAAACGUCCGUUUCGAAACAAAACACCCCAACAUCCUACAAGCUAAGUUGUCGGCAACAUCAAAGCGAAGCGAAUAUUCUGCUCGUGAAAUACCAUCACUGUUGUGCAACAGCCAGAUUACAAUCUCUACAUGGAGAACAAUGACUAAAUCUCUCAACACCGCGAAUGGAAUAUCAAUAACCUGGAAUAAGACCACCGAUACGGAGAGGGAUAUAAAGUUGAAGGUGUCAUUGCUCGAUCUAAGCGCAUAUUGUUAAUCGGAGCGUACACUUCAGUCGUGUGAUUUACACAAGCACGUUUUCAACCCGCGAAUACCUGCUUUAAGUUCAUUUCCUUAUCGUUACCCCUCAACAGCAGGUAAAUAUUUGUCAUCUCAGUUUCCAUCUGCGUGGCUGCUGAAACUUUGGCUGCCCUCAUCUGACCUUGCGGUAACUGUCUAUUUAUAGCUCUUUUGUCAAUAGUGACAGGUAUAAAGAGUGUUUGAAUUUCGUGUUCAACAACUCAGACCACCGUUGAGAACAUACACAUCAGCGUAACGCCUGGAGUAAACCAGAAGAAAUGACUCUGGUACUAAAUAAUAAUAUCGCCAUUACAACCACGACGCCGUCUUUAACGAGACCUAUUCCAAGUCCUGGGCCCUUCUCAUCAAUGAGUGGAAAUCAACCUCGCAGGUGCUCAGAAGACCGAAGCAUUUUUACUUAUUCCAACGCGUAUCCUAUCCCACACUGUGUUCACAAUAGUGGAAAAUUCGGGGUACAAGACAAAGACUUUAAUUCAUCAGAAUGCGACGUAGCUAUUCUCGACGACGAUGCGCUAACGUCUUUAAUCCUCGAGAUGGAAUUAGAGCAACUUAACGCUUUACCCGAACUUCAAGUAGUUAACGCAGAUUUGACAGACUGUACUAUCAGGAGAUGAAGCGGGAAGCAGCAAGCUUCAGAAAGCUAUGGACAUACCGAAAUAUUGGCUGAAAAGAUAGCUAAAAGAGGAAAUUAAUUUAUUCUUAGUCGAGAUAAUUCUUUGCAGUUCAUGGAUGUAACGAACUACGAAACGAAAUGUGAGUUUCGUUCCCUGUCAAGCGAUAGGAAUUAUAACGACUUACCUCAACAUUGACAUUGUUGUAAAUAUAAUUUGUAAAAUAAUAAAUGUGAACAGAAUUUGCAUGGCA